ACUGUUGGCGAGUGGUGUCGUAUUACCUGCCCUUAUAGGACAUGAUGCAUCAUGCAUGCAUUAUGGCUGGGAGCAUGAUAUGAUACCUCUAGUAUGUAAACUAAUAAUUAGUAGCAGG
rnacentral:pre_miRNA from 1 species